rnacentral:rRNA from 1 species
AGUCGAACGAACUCUGGUAUUGAUUGGUGCUUGCAUCAUGAUUUACAUUUGAGUGAGUGGCGAACUGGUGAGUAACACGUGGGAAACCUGCCCAGAAGCGGGGGAUAACACCUGGAAACAGAUGCUAAUACCGCAUAACAACUUGGACCGCAUGGUCCGAGUUUGAAAGAUGGCUUCGGCUAUCACUUUUGGAUGGUCCCGCGGCGUAUUAGCUAGAUGGUGGGGUAACGGCUCACCAUGGCAAUGAUACGUAGCCGACCUGAGAGGGUAAUCGGCCACAUUGGGACUGAGACACGGCCCAAACUCCUACGGGAGGCAGCAGUAGGGAAUCUUCCACAAUGGACGAAAGUCUGAUGGAGCAACGCCGCGUGAGUGAAGAAGGGUUUCGGCUCGUAAAACUCUGUUGUUAAAGAAGAACAUAUCUGAGAGUAACUGUUCAGGUAUUGACGGUAUUUAACCAGAAAGCCACGGCUAACUACGUGCCAGCAGCCGCGGUAAUACGUAGGUGGCAAGCGUUGUCCGGAUUUAUUGGGCGUAAAGCGAGCGCAGGCGGUUUUUUAAGUCUGAUGUGAAAGCCUUCGGCUCAACCGAAGAAGUGCAUCGGAAACUGGGAAACUUGAGUGCAGAAGAGGACAGUGGAACUCCAUGUGUAGCGGUGAAAUGCGUAGAUAUAUGGAAGAACACCAGUGGCGAAGGCGGCUGUCUGGUCUGUAACUGACGCUGAGGCUCGAAAGUAUGGGUAGCAAACAGGAUUAGAUACCCUGGUAGUCCAUACCGUAAACGAUGAAUGCUAAGUGUUGGAGGGUUUCCGCCCUUCAGUGCUGCAGCUAACGCAUUAAGCAUUCCGCCUGGGGAGUACGGCCGCAAGGCUGAAACUCAAAGGAAUUGACGGGGGCCCGCACAAGCGGUGGAGCAUGUGGUUUAAUUCGAAGCUACGCGAAGAACCUUACCAGGUCUUGACAUACUAUGCAAAUCUAAGAGAUUAGACGUUCCCUUCGGGGACAUGGAUACAGGUGGUGCAUGGUUGUCGUCAGCUCGUGUCGUGAGAUGUUGGGUUAAGUCCCGCAACGAGCGCAACCCUUAUUAUCAGUUGCCAGCAUUAAGUUGGGCACUCUGGUGAGACUGCCGGUGACAAACCGGAGGAAGGUGGGGAUGACGUCAAAUCAUCAUGCCCCUUAUGACCUGGGCUACACACGUGCUACAAUGGAUGGUACAACGAGUUGCGAACUCGCGAGAGUAAGCUAAUCUCUUAAAGCCAUUCUCAGUUCGGAUUGUAGGCUGCAACUCGCCUACAUGAAGUCGGAAUCGCUAGUAAUCGCGGAUCAGCAUGCCGCGGUGAAUACGUUCCCGGGCCUUGUACACACCGCCCGUCACACCAUGAGAGUUUGUAACACCCAAAGUCGGUGGGGUAACCUUUU